rnacentral:rRNA from 1 species
UACAGAGGUCUCAAGCGUUGUUCGGAUUCAUUGGGCGUAAAGGGUGCGUAGGCGGCGCGGUAAGUCGGGUGUGAAAUCUCGGGGCUUAACUCCGAAACUGCAUUCGAUACUGCCGUGCUUGAGGACUGGAGAGGAGACUGGAAUUUACGGUGUAGCGGUGAAAUGCGUAGAUAUCGUAAGGAAGACCAGUGGCGAAGGCGGAUCUCUGGGCCUUGCCUGACGCUGAGGCGCGAAAGCUAGGGGAGCGAACAGG